rnacentral:rRNA from 1 species
AGACAGGUGGUGCAUGGUUGUCGUCAGCUCGUGUCGUGAGAUGUUGGGUUAAGUCCCGCAACGAGCGCAACCCCUACGUUUAGUUGCUAACGCGUGAAGGCGAGCACUCUAGACGAACUGCCGUUGACAAAACGGAGGAAGGUGGGAUGACGUCAAAUCAUCAUGCCCCUUAUGUUCUGGGCUACACACGUGCUACAAUGGCCGGUACAGACGGACGCAAAGCCGCGAGGCGGAGCAAAUCCGAAAAAGCCGGCCUCAGUUCGGAUUGCAGGCUGCAAUUCGCCUGCAUGAAGUCGGAAUCGCUAGUAAUCGCAGGUCAGCAUACUGCGGUGAAUACGUUCCCGGGCCUU